UUGAUUGAGCGAGUCUUGUUCUCUGAUCCUGACGACCUACUCUGCUCCAGAUUGGAAGGAAUGCGGCACCCUCACCUUUACACACCGUUAGACCUGCACCUUCCAAACUUCGUUCCUCUGUGAUUGUCACAAGGGGAAAUCAUCGUGCCCUACCUGGGAACCUCCAUCUUUAUCGUCUUUGCCAUCUGGUUCAUCUCUGGAAGAUGUGGAGGCAAGCUGUCCAAGACUCCAAGACCGAUCGUUUGCUCAUGUGCUGGUGGGCCUUCACCGGUCUCGCUCACAUAAUGGAGGGAACCUAUGCCUUCGCGAGCUCAUGAGAAGAAGGUUAAAGUCCUCUUCAGCAAUCAAAACCCCUCUUUCUCCGAUGAAGUUUGGAAAGAGUACAGCAAAGGCGACUCCAGAUAUGUCGCCAGAGACCCAGCAACCGUUACAGUUGAAGCAAUUACAGCCGUGUUGGAAGGCCCUGGUUUACUCCUUUCUGUCUAUGCCAUCGCACGCCAGAAGUCUGACAGCCAUAUCCUCCAGUUCACUGUCUGUCUUGGUCAUCUCUAGGAAUAAGUUCACCGGAGGUCCCUCAACUUAACAGCGAAAUUUUUUGAGGCCCCUUAACCACAAAACCAGAAAUGUUUACCCCUGAACUUACUCAAACCGUUCACCGGAGGUCCCUCGGCAGUAUUUUUGCCCGGUUUUGCUGACAUGGCAUCCUAGUCAGCAAAAAAAAAUUAAAAAGGUACGUGAGGCCCAUAUGUCAGCUGCACAUAUUUUUUUCUUCUCUUUUCUUCUUCUCUUCUCUUUUCUCUUCUCUCCUCUCUCUUCUCCUUCAGGCUGGCGGCGGGCGCAGCCGCGAUGGCUGAGCGCGGCAGCAGAGCGGUGGCGGGCUGUGGGCGGAGCGGACGGCGGGCGAGCCCGGCGGUGGAGCGGAGGCAGCGGAGGCUACGGGCGGAGCAGCCGCGUGCCGUGGCCGCCGUCGUCGUCGGCUCCCCAUCGUCGUCGUCGCCGUGGGCGAGGCUACACGGCGCGGCCGUUCGGCGGCAUCGGCCAGGCGUCGCAGUGGCCGUGCAUAGGUGGCUCGAAGUGCCGGCUGACGAUGCACCCCAGUCGCUCACGCUCCUCCUGUGCCGCGGCUGCGGCAGUGGUGGCGGCGGCAGCGUCGCCGGCCUGAUCCCAUGGUCCUCCCGGAUGCCCAGCUCGCGCAGCUGCAGCAGGAGCGUGUCCACGCUCGGCGUGCCAUCGGCGUCGUGGACGGUGGUCGGCGCGGGCGCGGUAACCCUCGUCGUCUUCGUUGACGUCGCGGUAGCACUUGACGUCGUAGCUCAUACGCAUAUAUUCCGGGUACAGACGGCCGCAUGUACAUGCGUCUUCGUACGAGCAUAUAUAUGCAUGCAUGGAGACGACCAGCUAUAGCCUAGCUAGCUUCUUGUUGGUUUGCCGCCCGAUAACAUGCAGACGUAUAUAUUAGCCAAGCAUGUGUAUAUGGCUGAGCACACUCACAUGUAUAUAUGCAAUUACGUGCAGCGGAGGAGCGCGGAUGCGGGGGUGCAGUGGAAGGCGAGCGCGGCGGAGGAGCGGCGGCGGGCGAGCGCAGCGGUGGGCAAAGCAGCGGAGGGCGAGUUAGGCGAAGCGGAAGACAGUGGAUGGGACGAGGAGCUCCCCCGUGCUCGGCCGCCACCACCGCCGUGCCCCCGCGGGUGGCCGACGAUGCUAGGAGAGGCACCACCGGCGGGGGAAGGGGAAGAGGCAGAGGAAGCGAUUGUUUCUUGGUCGCCGGCCGCCUCCCCCUCCCUCCCAAACUCGCUGGCCGCCGCGCUCGCUCGCCUCCGCUCCGCCGCCGCGCUCGCACUCCGCUACUCUGUCCGCGGCCUGCUCGCGCUCCACUGCUCGGCCCGCCGCCGCGCUCGCGCCUUCCGCUGCUCCGUUGCCGCGCUCGCCCUCCGCUACGCUGCCCGCAUCCGUGCUCGCCGCUCCGCUCCGCCGCCGGACGGCCGCGCCGCGUAGCCUCGCCCACGGCGACGACGACGGCGGCCACGGCGCGCGGCUGCUCCACCCGCAGCCUGAAGGAGAAGAGAAGAGAGAGAAAAGAAAAGAGAAGAGGAGAGAAGGAGAAGAAAAGAGGAGAAAAAAGAUGUGAA